CGCAGCCAAUCGGCGGCCGCGCAGCUUCGUUUGCCCUCCUGCUUAUAAUAACAGUUGUUCUCUUGGCGCAAACGCGCUACUCGUGGCGGAAGUGAUGGCAAGCUUCCGCCGGGCGCGUAGUAGGGUGAGAGGAAGGGGACAAACUUGGAGUGGAAAGUGACACGAGCGCAGGGAGGCGCUCAGGAGACUGAAGAACCGCGGCGUCUGAGGCGAAAGCUGAGGCUGGACGUGAGCGUCGCCCAGUCUGUUGCAAUUUGUCCCCUUGAGCUGAGUAGAACACGGUCCUGCCGUCCCCGAGGCGUUCUUUCGAGCCCAGACCACCCCCCGGGAGCUCCAAGCCGCUCAGGAUUUAGCCCCUGCUUGUUUUCUCCCCUGCAAGUUCGUAGGACCUUGUUCAGGAUCUUAACUCUGCUGUAAUUUAGUGUCUUAUCCUGCUCUGCACCUUCUUUUGACAAAUGUGAGCCCUGAGACCCAAAGAAUCCCUGGUGGCACGCAGCACUAGAGACAAAUUGAUCACUCUGUCAUAGGAUGUUGGAAGAAUAAGAAGCCCAUGGUCAGAGACAGAAAAGGAACUUGGAAUGUCCACACUUGGCUCACCAAAGAGGCCCGGCUCAGGGGCAGCUUGGACCCAGGAUAGGCUUGAACUUGGCAGUUUUCCUGUGCCCAGCCCAGGAGAGCAGGCUGGAACACGGUGUCCUGGGAGCUCUCUGGAGAAGCAGCAGCGCCAUGCCCAUCUCCAGUCUCUUGGUCUCACCACUAAGGAGGCCUGGAGAAACGGCACAGUCGGCAGAGGAAAGGCCCCU